GCCCGCAUCGGGAACGCGCCCGUCUGAGGUGGCGGUCGGCGUGCUCGGCAGAACCAGCUGAAAUGGCGGCGACCAGAACAUGGAGGUUUUCCCAUAUGUCGCUGCUGCGCGCCCUCCCGCAUCUUACAAGGUCUUCAGUCCUGGCUAAGCACCUCCCGUACUCCGGGUGCGCCGUACAGAGCUGCACCAAAUCACUGCUGCGGUGUAGGGCCGCUGUCAGCCUACUGCCAGUGCGGCAGCUGCAUGUUCAGACGCAGGACACACCCAACCCCAGGAGCCUGAAAUUUCUGCCUGGCAGAGCUGUCCUGGGCACCGGGACGCUGAGCUUCUCCAGUGCUGGUCAUGCCAAGAGCUCACCGCUGGCCAGUGAGAUUUUUAAGGUGGAGGGAGUGAAGGCAGUGUUCUUCGGUCCUGACUUCAUCACAGUGACAAAGAGGGAUGAUGACGUGGAAUGGGCCGACAUCAAGCGCGGCGUCAUCGGGGCUGUGACGGAAUUCUUUCAGAGUGGAAACCCUAUAACUACGGGGGAGACGGACACACACAGCGCUCCUUUGGAAGAGGAUGAAGAUGAAGUGGUGUCUAUGAUCAAAGAGCUGCUGGACACCAGGAUCAGGCCCACGGUGCAGGAGGAUGGCGGUGAUGUCAUCUUCAAGGGCUUUGAGGAGGGCACGGUGCGGCUCAAGCUACUGGGCUCCUGCACGGGCUGCCCCAGCUCCACGCGGACGCUGAAAAGCGGCAUCGAGAACAUGCUGCAGUUCUACAUCCCCGAGGUGGACCACGUGGAGCAGGUGGAGGAUGAAGUGGAUGAAAUCAGCAACAAGGUGUUCAGCGAGCUGGAUCGCAAGUUAAACGACUCGUAGCCUUUUAUUUUUUUCCUCGAAAAUAGGACUGUUGUGAUCUUGCUGUUUAUGUUGCACAUAUUUUGGUUGUGGACUGGCAUCCCAUCUAAGGUGUUCCCCCGCCUGGACGCUGCCCUGGCUGGGGUCCAGCUACUCCCAGCCUUCCCCUGGACCUUGAGCAGGAUAAGCAGUUGAAAGGUUCAGGAACAGGAAGACCCUGCAGUGCAUCAUCAGGACAGCCCAGCGCAUCACUGGCACCCAGCUUCCAUCACUGGAAGAAAUCCAUCGCACCCGGUGCAGCCGCAGAGCUGAGAAAAUAAUCAAGGACCCAACCCACCCUGGACACAGACUCUUUACACCUCUGCCAUCUGAUAGACGCUAUAGAACCCUGAACAUAUGCAGAACCUGGCUGAGGAACAGUUCUUACCCCACAUCUAUCACACUUCUGAAUUCUCAGCACUGAUCUCAAACAUUCUCGAGCAGUACCCCACAUGUGCAUCUUCCAUAUUUAUGUGCAUUUAGUCCACUUGAAAACUCUACCUCUGUGAACUUGCUUAUCAGCACGUUAUUGUGUAUGUGUGUGUAUAGUGUCCAUAUACAUCUCCCAUACUAUUUAUCAGAAUAAAUCUCAGAAUCUAUUUAAUAGUAAAUAUACUGUAUAUCUACUGGCGUGUUCCAAACUAAAUCUCAUUGUACUUACAAUGACAAUAAAGCAUCUAUCUAUCUUCA